CCCGAAAUUGUCCCUAACAAACCCAACACCCGCAGGGCUGAAGUUUGGGCUCCGGGGUGCGGUGUCCAUGAAAUGGGCACGGCGUGCUUUCCAUGCAAAAGACACGAAGUCUGGAGUUUAUGAAAUUAUUGAAGGAAAGCCGCGCCAGUGCCAAGAGAUCAUGGCCCAGAGCUGGCAGAACUGAUCAGACCAAUGCUGAGCAAAAGGCCUGAAGAAGACCAUCUGGAGGAGCAUCCGGAGGGCUUUCCCCAAAGCACCAGAUCGCCUUCCUUUCCGAGGCCACAAAGGCGAGAACCUCCAGAAAUAGCAUGAAACACUGUGACUUGGUGACAUCCAAGCCUGCUGCUCCUCUGAGGCCUGAGCAAGACAUCGAUAGUGGGUGAAGGCAAGUGUUUGUCCCAGGAGAGGCCCAGGGUGGUUGGUCCCUUGAAGUCAGCCGCCAGUCUGAAGGCCCAGGGGACUUGAGCAAUACCAAGAACUGGCCACGGUCAGUAGGGUAAAUAUUGACAUCUUAGCUGCAGAAGGGAGGGAUGCAGCGAGCGAG
rnacentral:lncRNA from 1 species